ensembl:lncRNA
GUCUACAUGUGUUUUGUGUCCCUUUGAAUAUUCUGUAGGAGGUCCUUUGGGAUUAUGGUGUGUCUUGAAUUCACUUCUGUCAUCCUGUAUUUUAUGUAUAGAUACCUCCUAUGUAUAAAAAAAAAAAAAAUUCCCCACUCGCCCCUGCGGGCGGUCAAUCCUUCAAGCUCGGGUCCUCUACCAGAGGCCUGGGAGCACCCUGCUGUUAUGUGCUGGAUUGUCUCUGGGGCAUCUUGGCUUUGGAGCGUGAUGUCACGGGGGUGGGCGUGGAAAGGAUUUUGGCCCGAUCCGCCAUUUUGGGGGUCUAGCGCAAGUGAAAAGGGAGCGAAGGCACACACAACAGCCAUGGUUCGUAUUUGCUGUGUGGUCGGCUGCAAUGUGUGAUCGCACGACCGGCAAGAGAAUAAGCUUGAAAAGGGUUUAUCUUUUCAUUCUUUCCCAACCUGGAAGCAACAUGAGGCAGCUCGUGUAUCGAUGUUACCAAACGAAGGCGUCUAGCCUGGAUAGCAGCUGUGAGACGAGCUGAUAUCCAGCUCUCUUCCAUCUCCAAAUAUCUGUUGGUGCUCCAGACAGUUUCAUUCCGCAAACCAGCCUAUGAAAUGGAUGAAACACAUCGUGACUGGGUUCCAGCGCUACACAAGGGACCUGCUUCAAACAUACCACCAUGCCAAUCAGAUUACUUCUUCCAUGUGAGGGUGAAGAGGUGACCCUUCUAGAUAAGAUGGUGAAGGUUCGCUGCGUUUGUUGAACAGUGUGGUAGUAAAACCAGGGAAAAUGAAACUUGCUCCUGUUAAAUAUUCUUAAGUCUUGUGCUGUUUAAAUAGUGUUUUUUUUUUUUUUCAAAAGAUACAGUAAAUAAUGUUAGUAGUGUGUGAUAUCAUGUAAACACUGUCAUGAUUUUACUAUAAAUGACAUGGACUCUACACUGUAACUGAUGUGAUGUUCUAUAAAGUGGUUUUAAUAAUAAAAAAAGAGGCAAAAAUUAGUUUGUUUCUUUAUUCAACUUUUGAACAGUGGGACUCAGUCAGUACAUAUUCAGUAAAUGCAAAUUAUUUACAUGGCAGUGCACUACAGGCAUAAAUCUAGACCCCUAUAUAAAACAUUAUGGCAUUAUAGCAGUGACAACUCCUCCACAGUAGCAGGUGGGAUUUUUCUUUUUUGAGGACGGCUCCUUUUACCUUUCAAUACGGAUGGUCUGUUUAUGUUUUGAUCAAGAGCCUUUUUUUGGGCAGCUGAAGAGGAGAAGUCUAUCUUAUGGCCAACCUCUGGCUGUAUCUUGGUCACAUUACCAGGCAAAAACCAGUAUGCAGGUUCAUCUGUAACAGUCCUCGUGCCACAGAUCCGCACUGUUGCUUCUACAUUAAACAGAAGAGCAGCGACAUGGCUGCAGGUCUCCAUGACUCCAGCCACACAGGUGCAGUGGGCGGCUUCAACCUUCCCUGUGAUGCUCACAGUGACCCGUGGCUGCAAUGCUGGUUCAUUCAGUCUUUGAGAGUGCAGCACCUGAAACACACACAGAAAGUUAAUUUAAAGACAAGAACUAUGAGCCAAGGCCGACAUAAAUGUGUUUUAUCUACUUUAUCAUAAAUGUAACAGUGUUUAGAAAGUUAGCACAUACAUGUAAUUUUUCAUUUCUUUAUGUGUCCAUCUAUAGAACGCUGCAUUUUAUAGGGUAAAUCUGCCUGUUCUCUCUCAGAAACCUGCCUGCAG